ensembl:lncRNA
CAUCAAUAUGUGAGUGGUUAAACAAACUGUGGUACAUAUAUACAUUGGAAUACUACUCACCAAUGAAAAUGCAAUGGAUUAUUUAUAUAUGUAAUAACUUGGAUGGAUUAAGGACAUUAUGCUGAGUGAAAAAAGCCAAUCUCAAAGGUCACAUAGUAUAUGAUUCCAUUUAUGUAACAGUCUCAACAUAAAUUAUGGAAAUGGAAGAGAUUGGUGGUUUCUAGAGAUUAGUGGUCAUGGGGUAAGGGAAAUAGGUCUGACUAUAAAGGAGUAGCAUAGGAGAUCUUUCUUGUGAUGGAAUAGUUCUGUGUUUUUUUUUUCUUCUCUGGUGGCUAUACAGAAAUACAUAUGUGAUAAAAUAUCACAGAGCUGUACAUCAUACCAAUGUCAGUUUCCCGGUUUUAAUGUUGUACUAUAGUUAUGUAGGGUGUAACCAUUGGAGGAAACAAUGAAAAUUACAAAGAACAAUUCUGUAUAUUUGAACCUUCCUGUGACUAUCUAUCUGACUAUUUUAAAAUAUACAGUUAUAAAAAUUUUAAAUACAUAUGUAAAACCAAUGGAGAAAGCCCAAAAGGGAUUGUAAUAAAACCAGAGGAGAUAACUAUUGCCAUAGCCCUAAACAGACAGUUUAUGUCCCUGGAUAAUAUUUAAGAAAAAUGUCAGGCCGGGCGCGGUGGCUCAAGCCUGUAAUCCCAGCACUUUGGGAGGCCGAGGCGGGUGGAUCACGAGGUCAGGAGAUCGAGACCAUCCUGGCUAACAUGGUGAAACCCCGUCUCUACUAAAAAUACAAAAAACUAGCCGGGCGUGGUGGCGGGCGCCUGUAGUCCCAGCUACUCGGAGGCUGCGCCUGUAGUCCCAGCUACUCGGAGGCUGAGGCAGGAGAAUGGCGUAAACCCAGGAGGCGGAGCUUGCAGUGAGCCGAGAUCGCGCCACUGCACUCCAGCCUGGGUGACACAGCGAGACUCCGUCUCAAAAAAAAAAAAAAAAAAAAAAAGAGAUACACUCCUGGUAACCACUGCUUAUAACAGCAGGUAUGUUUCAGCCUUACAUGCUGCUUUGUAUUUCUGUUCCAGGGAGAUUUUUAUCUUGUUAUUGAGUCCAGAGUUUCUGGUUUUCCAUUUUAUUUCUCACCGCUAUAAUUUUAAGCCAAGGGAGCACUAUUUAUUCAAAGUCUUACCUACCAUUUACUGAUAGAAAAUCUUUAUAUAUAUAUAUACACACACACACACAUAUAUAUGUACAUACACACACAAAUACAUACAUACACAUACAUAUAUAUACACAUAUAUACACGUAUAUAUAUAUUGAUAUACACACACACGCUUGUAUGAUUAUUUUCUUAGAAGUUCACUAAAGUGGAAAUCCUAUGUAAAGGACAUGUGUAAAACAAAUUCUUAGCCCUGUUGACAUACAGUAAAUUGUGCUCUUUCCUCCACACGUAUCCUACACAACACUUUUUAAAACCAGCUUUGAUCUCUACCAAAUUAAACAAAAAAUAAUUCUUCUUGUUUGUUAUUGUAUGCUUUUUACUUCACCACAUUUAUUUAAAUACAAUUUACAUAAAUGAGUUGCAGAAUAUUAAGUACAAAGUUCAGUGACUUCUGACAAAU